UACGUAGGGGGCAAGCGUUGUUCGGAAUUACUGGGCGUAAAGGGCGCGUAGGCGGCACAGCAAGUCGGGAGUGAAAGCCCGGGGCUCAACCCCGGAACGGCUUUCGAAACUGCUGAGCUAGAGUGCGGAAGGGGCAACCGGAAUUCCCAGUGUAGCGGUGAAAUGCGUAGAUAUUGGGAAGAACACCUGAGGCGAAGGCGGGUGCUGGGCCGACACUGACGCUGAUGCGCGAAAGCCAGGGGAGCAA
rnacentral:rRNA from 1 species